AAUUGAAUAUGAACAUAUUGAUUGGUAAAGCCGGAUAGCUUGAACGCAUUAACAUUAAAAGCUUGAUGCUAUUUGAUAAUCGAUAUAUAUAUAGUCUUCAUUCAUAUCUAUAUUUGUUCGAAUAGUUAAGAUGAUGGCAUUCAGUGCAACAUUUCUUGUGGUAAUCAGUGAAGAUGCGUUUGCUUUCACAAACUCCAAUUGAUUCUCUCCACCUUGGUUUAGUUAUUAGUAAACUUAUUUGUUUACUUUAACAAGCUUUUAUUCUCAUGCAUUUAAAAGUAGAUAACAUGGCAAGUGCUAUAAUUGCAUUUGUCCUUUAUUCUUCAUCCAACAUUCAUUACUUUUCUUUUUUUUUAUAUAUAUCAAUAUCAAUAGCAAUAGCAUCAACCAUUCAAGAACAUGAAGAUGCAAUCACUUUUGUUCAUCUUCUUCUUAGCCAUUGCUUUGGUGGGGUGCAUUUCCACUGAAACAGAUGUAGAUAUGAAACCAAUUUCCAAAAACGAGAAACAGCAGACGAGCGCGGAAGCUGUCGUUCGUGAUCGCAGAGGAGCUAACGGAGGCUCGGAUCUAACGACAAAGCCUUCGCAAACCAAGAGUAUUGGAGCCGCUGAUUUACCUGUUAUCAGUUUCUGUGUUUCUAUGUUUUUGACUAGCUUCUUCAUGCUUCAAAAUUGACUCUUAUAUUCUUCUGUUUGUUACUCAGCUUGUAAUGACUGAUUCACUCGUUACCCGAAUCAAAUCAAAGCACAAAUUUGUGUGAAAUUGAUGAAAUGCCACAUUAAAAAUUUCAA